AGAAGCUAAUGAAGCAUGGGCUUGCGGCCUUUAUAUAAUUAAGUAAAAUAUCGGCCACCAAAUUAUACCAAAAUAAACUUUAGUCCAGCAGUCAAAUACCUCUAUCUUUUCUUAGAGAUGAAGGGUUCAAUCCUAACCAGCCACAUUAUUAUUGUUGGCUUGUAGCCUCAACAAAACAAGGACCGGCUCUGCUUGUGUAAAUAGCAUAACAUGCCCAUCACCUUUACAGAUCCAUUAACCUCUUGAUAUAUAAUGUUAUAGCUUAGUAUUCCAUAUUCCAUAACUUGCCGAAUGCUCCCCAUUUUCCAUAUUAAAUAUAUACAUGUAUAGUUAAAAAAAUAUGAUGCCCUCAUUCUCUAUUAGUUGCUGAUUAAUCAGUAGGUGUACCCCAUAAUUCAUCUCAUAUACCAAAUGAACCUCUUUGUAACCUCUUUGAUACAAAAAAACGCCAUAUGAUCCCAGGGCACAGAGACUCAUUUACAUUUUUGAUACACCACCUUACGCCUUUCCACUUCAAACCCCUUAUUCCUUUUAGUAACCAUAAGUAUACCAGAAUCCCAACCUCCUGCCAACUGAGCCUUACAGACAUAUAUACGAACCAACCCAUCACCAACCAAAUAAAACAACAGUCUUUAUUCACAUCCAGUACUUCCCAUAAGACUCCAAGAACUUCCAUGUUUCCAAAACCCGAAGGUACCGUGUAGAAAAAAUCAUCAAAAUACCA
rnacentral:lncRNA from 1 species